rnacentral:rRNA from 1 species
AGCGAACGCUGGCGGCAGGCCUAACACAUGCAAGUCGAACGAACUCUUCGGACUUAGUGGCGGUCGGGUGAGUAACACGGGGGAACGUGCCCUUUGGUUCCGAGUCACUCAGGGAAACUUGUGCUCAUACCGCAUGUGCCCUUCGGGGGAAAGAUGUAUCGCCAUUAGAGCGGCCCGCGUCUGAUUCGCCAGUUGGUGGGGUAACGGCUCACCAAGGCGACGAUCAGUAGCUGGUCGGAGAGGAUGACCAGCCACGCUGGGACUGAGGCACGGCCCAGACUCCGACGGGAGGGAGCAGUGGGGAAUCUUGCGCAAGGGGCGAAAGCCUGACGCCGCCAUGCGGCGUGAAUGAGGAAGGUGUUAGGAUUGUAAAAUUCUUUGAGCGGGGGCGAGAAUUACGGUACUCGGUGAAGAAGCACCGGCUAACUACGUG